UACGUAGGUGGCGAGCGUUGUCCGGAUUUACUGGGCGUAAAGAGCGCGCAGGCGGUCGUGCAAGUCGCGUGUGAAAGCCCCCGGCUCAACUGGGGAGGGUCACGCGAUACUGCUCGACUCGAAGGCAGGAGAGGGAAGUGGAAUUCCCGGUGUAGUGGUGAAAUGCGUAGAUAUCGGAAGGAACACCGGUGGCGAAAGCGGCGCGCUGGAUCUCUUCUGACGCUGAGGCGCGAAAGCCAGGGGGAGCAAACGGG
rnacentral:rRNA from 1 species